rnacentral:tRNA from 1 species
GAGGGUAUAGCUCAGUGGUAGAGUGCCUGCUUAGCAUGCACAAGGUGCUGGAUUCAAUCCCUAGUACCUCUG